rnacentral:ribozyme from 1 species
UGCCCAGCAACUCCUAUCCCUACCUCCUCGCGGUACUGGCCGUGGGUGGGGGGGG